AUGAAAGCCCUCAACGAAGGCAUCAACCGAGGCAAAAACAGGGUCUUUGAUGAGGUGAAAGUUGACGAAAGUCUGUCCCUGGAGCAUGUGACGCGAGGGAGAGCCAAGCAAGCACAUGGCCGCCGGCCGCCAACCAGAAGCCAUCUAAAGGAGGUAAGAAUGAGAUUUAGAAACCACCCUGAACACAGCUUUGUACAUUUGAUCAUCUGAAUGUAAAUACGAUCAGUCCUCCAUAUUCGGGGAUUUGACUUUUCUAGGUUUGAUUAUUCAUUGAUUGGAUUUGGGAUGGAUCUACACUGCCAUAUAAUCUAGAUCAGGGAUGGGCAAACUUUGGCCCUCCAGGUGUUUUGGACUUCAACUCUCCUGAGGUGCUUGUUGGGACACAGAGGGCGGAGCUAGGGAAGGGGGCGGGGCCUCCUUCCAAGAACCCGAGACAGGGCUGAGCUUCUAUACUUCUCCUGAGAGGCAUUUCAGGGCUAAAGGGCAGGGCUAGGGGUGUGGGCGGGGCCUCUUCCCAAGAGCGCAAGACAGGGCUGAGCCUCUAUACCUCUCCUGAGAGGCCUUUUAGGACUAAAGGGCAGGGCUAGGGGUGUGGGCGGGGCCUCUUCCCAAGAGCGCAAGACAGGGCUGUGCCUCUACAUCUCUCCUGAGAGGCCUUUUAGGACUAAAGGGCGGGGCUAGGGGUGUGGGCGGGGCCUCUUCCCAAGAGCGCAAGACAGGGCUGUGCCUCUACAUCUCUCCUGAGAGGCCUUUUAGGACUAAAGGGCGGGGCUAGGGGUGUGGGCGGGGCCUCUUCCCAAGAGCGCAAGACAGGGCUGAGCCUCUAUACCUCUCUGAAAAGCCUUUUAGUACUAAAGGGCAGGGCUAGGGGUGUGGGCGGGGCCUCUUCCUAAGAGCGCAAGACAGGGCUGAGCCUCUAUAUCUCUCCUGAGAGGCCUUUUAGGACUAAAGGGCGGGGCUAGGGGUGUGGGCGGGGCCUCUUCCUAAGAGCAAAAGACAGGGCUGAGCCUCUACAUCUCUCCUGAGAGGCCUUUUAUUACUAAAGGGCGGGGCUAGGGGUGUGGGCGGGGCCUCUUCCUAAGAGCGCAAGACAGGGCUGAGCCUCUAUAUCUCUCCUGAGAGGCCUUUUAGGACUAAAGGGCGGGGCUAGGGGUGGGGGCGGGGCCUCUUCCCAAGAGCGCAAGACAGG
rnacentral:lncRNA from 1 species